ensembl:lncRNA
ACCCUUCUGCUCCUGGGACCUGCUCACCAGACUGGUUUGCCAACACUACUGCACGGCCACAGCUGUCAACAGCAUUCCCCUGACAAGCCUUCUCUGGUUCAUGGCAUGAAUUGCAAGUUUUUCUGUGUUGCUUCGUUCAAUCAAGAAAAGAAAGAAGAAAAAAACAGCUUGUGAAGAUCACCAUACUAAGAGUAUGGCUAGUUUCCUUAAGUAAAGAAGGAGGAUGCCUGGCAUCGUGGUCUGGCAGUGGGUGACAAGUGGGGCCUGUGCCCCUGGGACACGCCACACUGAGUGGGGCCAGGAGCGAUUUUGUUCCCGGUGUGUACUAAACACAGACAUCUGUCCCCAACAAAGGCCUCAUCUGGCUCC